AGAGUUUGAUCCUGGCUCAGGAUGAACGCUAGCGGCAGGCCUAAUACAUGCAAGUCGAGGGGUAGAGAGAGCUUGCUCUCUUGAGACCGGCGCACGGGUGCGUAACGCGUAUGCAACCUACCUUAAUCUGGGGGAUAGCCCGAAGAAAUUCGGAUUAACACCGCAUAAAAUCACAGCACGGCAUCGUGCAAUGAUCAAAUAUUUAUAGGAUUAAGAUGGGCAUGCGUGACAUUAGUUUGUUGGUGAGGUAACGGCUCACCAAGACUACGAUGUCUAGGGGAUCUGAGAGGAUGACCCCCCACACUGGUACUGAGACACGGACCAGACUCCUACGGGAGGCAGCAGUAAGGAAUAUUGGUCAAUGGAGGCAACUCUGAACCAGCCAUGCCGCGUGCAGGAAGACGGCCCUACGGGUUGUAAACUGCUUUUGUCGGGGAAUAAACCUCUUUACGUGUAAAGAGUUGAAUGUACUCGAAGAAUAAGGAUCGGCUAACUCCGUGCCAGCAGCCGCGGUAAUACGGAGGAUCCAAGCGUUAUCCGGAUUUAUUGGGUUUAAAGGGUGCGUAGGCGGCCUAUUAAGUCAGGGGUGAAAGACGGUGGCUCAACCAUCGCAGUGCCUUCGAUACUGAUAGGCUUGAAUGAACUUGAGGUAGGCGGAAUGUGACAAGUAGCGGUGAAAUGCAUAGAUAUGUCACAGAACACCAAUUGCGAAGGCAGCUUACUAAGGUUUAAUUGACGCUGAGGCACGAAAGCGUGGGGAUCAAACAGGAUUAGAUACCCUAGUAGUCC
rnacentral:rRNA from 1 species